rnacentral:rRNA from 1 species
GACGAACGCUGGCGGCGUGCUUAACACAUGCAAGUCGAACGGAAAGGCCCCUUUGGGGGUACUCGAGUGGCGAACGGGUGAGUAACACGUGAGUAACCUGCCCUUGACUUCGGGAUAACUUCAGGAAACUGGGGCUAAUACCGGCUAGGAAUCCUUGCUGCAUGGUGGGGGUUGGAAAGCUUCGGCGGUUUUGGAUGGACUCGCGGCGUAUCAGCUUGUUGGUGGGGUAGUGGCUUACCAAGGCGUUGACGGGUAGCCGGCCUGAGAGGGCGACCGGCCACACUGAGACUGAGAGACGGCCCAGACUCCGACGGGAGGAAGCAGUGGGGAAGAUUGAACAAUGGGCGGCAGCCGGAUGCAGCAGCGCCGCGGGCGGGAUGACGGCCUUCGGGUUGGAAACCGCUUUCAGCAGGGGCGAAGCUUGUGGUGACGGUACCUGCAGAAGAAGCACCGGCUAACUACGUG